rnacentral:tRNA from 1 species
UCAGGGUGUGGCUGAGUUAGUUAAGCAUCUCACUUACACCGGAGAAGACAUCCA